AUCUUUCUAGUAUUAACAUUAGUACGAAUGACUUCCAAUCAUAUGGUCUUGGUUAAAAUCCAAGGAAAGAUA
rnacentral:tRNA from 1 species